GCCGCCAGGAGCACCUCAUCCUCGCCCUACAUCACUUGGGGCUCCCCCAACCCAGAGGGCAGAGAGGAAGGAGCAAAGGAGGGACGACAGACCCAGGGACACUGGGAGAGAGGCAGAUUUGGAAUUUUAAAAGCUGAGGACCACUAAUUCUAAAAGCAGUGCAACACCCUGGCCCAGGUCCGGCUUUCAGGCCUCCAGCAUAUGACUUCUGAGGGGCAGCAGUGCAGCACUGAACAUCCUCGCUCACGGACCUCUUCGUACCCAUGCUUGAAAUUCUG